rnacentral:tRNA from 1 species
GUGCCCGUAGCUCAGCUGGAUAGAGCGUCAGCUUGCGGAGCUGAAGGUCGUAGGUUCGAAUCCUGUCGGGCAUACCA